UGUUACGAAGCCUUUCAGAGGAUGGCUUGGCUCAGAUAAAAGCAAGGGCGUGGCAAGCUGCGAAAAGCUCCGGCUAGGCGCAUGCAGCCGUUGAACCGGAGGUUCCCGAAUACCCAGUAAUGGGCAGAUACCCCGUGAAAUGAAACAUCUUAGUAACGGGAGGAAAAGAAACCAAUAGGGAUGCUGUAAGUAAGGGUGACUGAAAGCAGCACAGAGCAAACUGAAUGCGGCACAGCAAUGUGCCGUAGAUGUGGGCGCUCCAACUAUCCAUUUAAUUGAACUGAAGCAACUGGAAAGUUGUGCCAGAGAGAGUGAUAGCCUCGUAGGUGAAGGUUAGAUGGAAGGGAGCGAUGCGAGUAAGGUCCCUCGAGUAUGGGGCGUGAAGAUGCGAGUAUCGACUUGCAACUCUAAAUACAGAUCUGAGACCGAUAGCGUAUUAGUAGCGCGAGCGAAAGCUGAAAAGAACCCCGAACAGGGGGGUUAAAAGUGCCUGAAACUGAAAGGCUACAGGUUGAUGUAGUGUGAAAGGAAUGAACGCCUGCAGAAGCGACCAUUCGCAAGGGUGGAAGCGAUGCGGGACUACCAAUAUUACAUCGUCCUUCUUGAGUCAAGGGCCAGGGAGUUUGCGAUAGUGGCGAGCAGGAAUGCGAAGCGAAAGCGAUUGCGCGCAGUGAUAAGCGAGGCGCGUCGUUUGAAAAAGCGAUUAGUCACUAUUGCCAGACCCGAAGCCAUUGUGAUCUAUACGUGCGCAGGUCGAAGCCGGCUUUUCAGCUGGUGGAGGACCGCUACCGUUGCUAGUAUAUCUGCUCGGGUGACGUGCGUUUAGGGGUGAAAGUCCAAUCGAACAUGGCAAUAGCGGGUUCCUUCCGAAGUAUCUCCUAGGAUAGCCUCGUCUGAGAUAGUGUGUGGGGUAGAGCACUGAUCACGGGGAGCGGCAUCGAAAGGUGUCACCUCGUUGUCAAACUCCGAAUCUAUACACGUCGUAGAAGACGGGAGUCGACGACGCUGGGUAAGCUAGUGUUGUUGCAUGGGAACGACCAUGGCUAGGGUUAAGGUCCCUAAUGUCUGACUAAGUGUUAAUAUGAAGGAGUCUCCAAGCAAAAACAGCUGGAAGGUAGGCUCAGAAGCAGCCAUCCUUUAAACAACGCGUAAUAGCGGACCAGUCGAGUUUGCUGGCUCUGAAGAUGUACGGGACUAAGUCAGAAACCGAAACCCUAGAGGACUGCCUUCGGGCAGUCAUCUGGUAGGGAGGCGAACGGGCCGGGCAGAAGCACAGCCGUAAGGUUGUGUGGACUGGCUUGUUAUGAAGAUCCUGGUGUUAGUAACAUCUAAUUCAGGUGAGAAUCCUGAACGCCGUAAGCACACGGUUUUCUUGGCAACGUUUGUCAGCCAAGAGUAAGUCGAUCCUAAAUGCAAGGCCAAUCACCAUUGCAUGAAAGGGAAGCGGGUUAAAAUUCCCGCACCUUGUGGAUAGACGUCGCAAGACAAGUUUAGUUCUUGACGCUUGGGGAUAGGUCGAGCAAUUCGCAAGGGUUGUUCUUCUUUUGCAGUCCUGUGGAGAUUCGUUAUGAAGAGAAGCAGGAUAACAACUGGAGGGGUAGCAAUACUUCGAUUGAUUCCCGGAGCCCGUGAAAUAACCCUUUUUGCUAAAGCAAAAAGCGUUAACGGAAAAACUUCUCUGCCUUAUUUUGGGCGGGGAUAACGUAACGCGGGUUGCGCGCGGGAAAUUGCGCAAUAAAAAAUAUGUAAAAAGGGUACACGAAAAGAGAACUAAUCCGAUUCCACAAGAUCGUACCUAGAACCAGUACAGGUGUUGCUGGCAGAGAAAGCCAAGGCGUAGCAGGGUGACCUAGGCAAGGGAACUCGGCAAAAUAGUAGCGUAACUUCGGGACAAGCUAUGCCUGCGGUUUACAAGAACUGCAGGUCUCAGUAUCAAGGGGAGGUCGACUGUUUAUCAAAAACACAGAUCACUGCAAAGUCGUAAGGCUUAGUAUAGUGGUCGAUGCCUGCUCACUACCGGUACGUCAAACUCGGUUUCAACCGAACUAAGCGCCGGCAAAGAGCGGGGGUAACUCUGACCCUCUUAAGGUAGCGUAAUACCUCGCCGCUUAAUUGGCGGCUUGCAUGAAUGGCAUAACGAGCCUCCCACUGUCCCUGUCUAGGACCUGGUGAACUCACUACUCCGUGAAUAUGCGGAGGACUUCUAAGGGGAAACGAAGACCCCGUGGAGCUUUACUAUAGUCUGUUGUUGUAGUGUCUUGAUCAAUGCGGAGCGUAAUUGGGAGCCGCUAUGUUGCAUCUUUCGGGGUGCAAAUAGGCGAUUUUGUAACACCAAUCACUGGUUGAUACACUGCUUACCUAAUUAGGGACAGCGGCAGAUGGAUAGUUUGGCUGGGGCGGUACAUCCUCGAUAAGGAAACAAGGAUGCCCAAUGUUUAGCUUACUCGCGUCAGAAAUGCGAGGUUAAGGGAAAAAGACAAAUGCUAGACUGACUGUAUUCAUAAGAGCGUUGAAUGCAGAGACGAAAGUCGGGCUUAACGAACCUUGGUAUCCCUUUUGAUGAGGGUCCAAGCUGUCAGACAAGCUACCCCGGGGGUAACAGGCUCGUCGCGGGCGAGAG
rnacentral:rRNA from 1 species